rnacentral:rRNA from 1 species
UUAGAGUUUGAUCCUGGCUCAGGAUGAACGCUAGCGGCAGGCUUAACACAUGCAAGUCGAGGGGCAGCGAGAGUGAUAGCAAUAUUACUUGUCGGCGACCGGCGCACGGGUGCGUAACGCGUAUGCAACCUACCAUCAACAGGGGGAUAACACUGAGAAAUCGGUACUAAUACCCCAUAAUAUCUCAUGCGGCAUCGCAUGGGGUUGAAAACUCCGGUGGUUGAUGAUGGGCAUGCGUUGUAUUAGCUGGUUGGUGAGGUAACGGCUCACCAAGGCGACGAUACAUAGGGGGACUGAGAGGUUAACCCCCCACAUUGGUACUGAGACACGGACCAAACUCCUACGGGAGGCAGCAGUGAGGAAUAUUGGUCAAUGGACGCAAGUCUGAACCAGCCAUGCCGCGUGCAGGAUGACGGCUCUAUGAGUUGUAAACUGCUUUUGUACGAGGGUAAACCCCGAUACGUGUAUCGGGUUGAAAGUAUCGUACGAAUAAGGAUCGGCUAACUCCGUGCCAGCAGCCGCGGUAAUACGGAGGAUCCGAGCGUUAUCCGGAUUUAUUGGGUUUAAAGGGUGCGUAGGCGGUUUGAUAAGUUAGAGGUGAAAUGUCGGGGCUCAACCCCGAAACUGCCUCUAAUACUGUUGGACUAGAGAAUAGUUGCGGUAGGCGGAAUGUAUGGUGUAGCGGUGAAAUGCUUAGAGAUCAUACAGAACACCGAUUGCGAAGGCAGCUUACCAAACUAUAUCUGACGUUGAGGCACGAAAGCGUGGGGUAGCAAACAGGAUUAGAUACCCUGGUAGUCCACGCAGUAAACGAUGAUAACUCGUUGUCGGCGAUACACAGUCGGUGACUAAGCGAAAGCGAUAAGUUAUCCACCUGGGGAGUACGUUCGCAAGAAUGAAACUCAAAGGAAUUGACGGGGGCCCGCACAAGCGGAGGAACAUGUGGUUUAAUUCGAUGAUACGCGAGGAACCUUACCCGGGCUUGAAAGUUAGCGACGACGCUUGAAAGAGCGUUUCCCUUCGGGGCGCGAAACUAGGUGCUGCAUGGUUGUCGUCAGCUCGUGCCGUGAGGUGUCGGGUUAAGUCCCAUAACGAGCGCAACCCCUACUGUUAGUUGCCAUCAGGUGAUGCUGGGCACUCUAGCGGGACUGCCGGUGUAAGCCGAGAGGAAGGUGGGGAUGACGUCAAAUCAGCACGGCCCUUACGUCCGGGGCCACACACGUGUUACAAUGGUAGGUACAGAGGGCAGCUACUCUGCGAAGGGGUGCGAAUCUCGAAAGCCUAUCUCAGUUCGGAUUGGAGGCUGAAACCCGCCUCCAUGAAGUUGGAUUCGCUAGUAAUCGCGCAUCAGCCAUGGCGCGGUGAAUACGUUCCCGGGCCUUGCACACACCGCCCGUCA